rnacentral:rRNA from 1 species
UGCCGGACCUGACUGCUAUCGGAUUGAUACUAAGCCAUGCGAGUCAUUGUAGCAAUACAAGGCAUACGGCUCAGUAACGCGUAGUCAACCUAACCUAUGGACGGGAAUAACCUCGGGAAACUGAGAAUAAUGCCCGAUAGAACAUUAUACCUGGAAUGGUUUAUGUUCCAAAUGAUUUAUCGCCGUAGGAUGGGACUGCGGCCUAUCAGUUUGUUGGUGAGGUAAUGGCCCACCAAGACUAUUACAGGUACGGGCUCUGAGAGGAGUAGCCCGGAGAUGGGUACUGAGACACGGACCCAGGCCCUAUGGGGCGCAGCAGGCGAGAAAACUUUGCAAUGUGCGAAAGCACGACAAGGUUAAUCCGAGUGAUUUCUGCUAAAGAAAUCUUUUGUUAGUCCUAGAAACACUAACGAAUAAGGGGUGGGCAAGUUCUGGUGUCAGCCGCCGCGGUAAAACCAGCACCUCAAGUGGUCAGGAUGAUUAUUGGGCCUAAAGCAUCCGUAGCCGGCUCUGUAAGUUUUCGGUUAAAUCUGUACGCUCAACGUACAGGCUGCCGGGAAUACUGCAUAGCUAGGGAGUGGGAGAAGUAGACGGUACUCGGUAGGAAGUGGUAAAAUGCUUUGAUCUAUCGAUGACCACCUGUGGCGAAGGCGGUCUACUAGAACACGUCCGACGGUGAGGGAUGAAAGCUGGGGGAGCAAACCGGAUUAGAUACCCGGGUAGUCCUAGGUGUAAACGCUGUGGACUUGAUGUUGGGGGUGCUCCGAGCACUCUCAGUGUCGAAGCGAAGGUGAUAAGUCCACUGCCUGGGAAGUACGGUCGCAAGGCUGAAACUUAAAGGAAUUGGCGGGGGAGCACCGCAACCUGAGGAUUGUGCGGUUUAAUUGGAUUCAACGCCGGAAAACUCACCAUAGCCGACGGACAAAUGAAGGUCAGUGUAAUGAACUUACCGGAUUGUUCGAGAGGUAGUGCAUGGCCGCCGUCAGUUCGUACCGCAAGGCGUUCUGUUAAGUCAGAUAACGAACGAGACCCUCAUCUCUAUUUGCUAACUGGAUCUCCGGAUCCAGUGCACUAUAGGGAGACCGCUGGCGCUAAGUCAGAGGAAGGGGAGGGCAACGGUAGGUCAGUAUGCUCCGAAUGCUAUGGGCUACACGCGCAAUACAAAGGACAGGACAAUGGGCUGCUGCUCCGAAAGGAAUGAUAGCUAUCCCGAAACCUGUUCGUAGUUCGGAUUGAGGGCUGUAACUCGCCCUCAUGAAGCUGGAUUAGGUAGUAAUCGCGUCUCAAAAAGGCGCGGUGAAUAUGCCCCUGCUCCUUGCACACACCGCCCG